UUGCCAGUAAACACCAUGACUAUCCCAUGGAGGUGUACUGUUUCCAGCUUGCAUGAGCUUCUUGCAUCCAGAGCCCACCACGGCCUAAAUAUUACUGCCAAGCUCUCUGAGCCCUCAGGAAUGACAUCUGAGUAGCAUCGGGGCCUGCCAAGUUGAUCGGGUCAGAGGAGUUUCAAAUGUAUUAUGUCAGGAGGAAGGGAUAACUGUCACAUAAACAUAACCUAAAUCUGGAACCUUGCUAGUCUGGCACGUAAGCUGGUGGCAUCUCUUUGACUACCUUCAUUUUUCGUAUGACCUCCUGCAGCCAAGGAGUAUUUGACAGUUCAGGAAACAGGGUGAGAGAGUACUCAGAUCCCCUGAAAACACAGGCCAUCCAGUCAUAAAAAAAAAAGGUGAUUUCAGAAAUGGGAGCCAAGAUCCCAGAAAGAGAAACUAAAAGCAGUGAAGAAACACUCUCGGGAAAUAAAAUAAAGCUCUACUCAAGGAAUUGGUGUCCUGUGCUCGGUUGGACUUCAGAAUUGAUGUGGACCAGUGGCUGCUGUGUUUAUCUGAUAUUCUUCCUUUCUAAACAGUAGUGCCUAUGUCUGUCUGUCCGUUG